rnacentral:lncRNA from 12 species
CCCAACAGUAAGAAGGAGAAGGGCUUCAAAUUAUGUAUUUCGAGCUACAUCGACAACUUUGAGGGUGAGUAUUCUCUUAUUUCAUGCUAAAUCCGACUAACGUUAGCGUCCCUGUUCCUGACCUCUCAUACCGGUCUUUGUAUUAUUUAUAUAUUUAGUUAAACAUAAACAUAUAGUUUUACGUGUUUUCCCUUAUGCCUAAAGUGCUUGUUUGUGCAGUGUACAUACAAAUUGUGGAAAACUAAUUGUUACUGACUUUGAGUAAUUUCUCAGUUUCCAGUAAGGAUCAGUUCACAGGAGAGAUCAGCGUGAGGGCGACAUGUUUCAGGUCGAUAAGGAAGUCAGAGAAGCCCCAUAGAUUGAGAGUAGGAGGACACAAAAGACAGCUGAACUCUAAAUGAGAUUCAUGUUUUAAACAGAAGUUGUUUGUGGGUUCUACAGCUGUACAAAGACAGGCAUAAUUGUAUUAAAGGACUCUCGUCCUGUAAUACUGUCACAGAGCAGUUGUUCUUGUGUUGCUGGGACAGCACUGUGCAACCACAUCGUUGCACUACUCUACCAAACAGCCCACUACUCACAGCUUGGCAUCAGUGCAGUUCCUCCAGUUCACAGCUGUACUGAAAUGGAGCGGAGCUGGCACAAACCAAGAAAAAUGGUAAUUUAAAUUGAAUUUGCGUAUACAAAUUAUAUAAAAACUGAACUACUGGAAAUGCAAUAAAUUAAUAAAUACAAUGAGCAUUAUUUAAGUUGUUUUUUAGUCAGUAACAGCAUUUCUGUGGACAGUGAUUAUUUAGAAAUACUGUAAUCUAGUAUUCCAAAUUUUAUUGUAGUAAUGAUUUUAUUAAUUUUAUGGCCCCUGUGUGUUUUCUAGGGAGUCAAGCCUGGUCCUGUCAAUAGAAUGCUGGUUCUGUCUGCAAGACCAAAAGAGAGGAAGCUUGCUGAGGGGUUAAGGAGUACCCUUUACAAGGGUGUCACCAGUGAGCUGCCUGACCUCUCGGUCCUCCAAGUAGCAGAGGCAUAUAAGGACUUUGCCAGUGCUGUAGCCCCCCUUUGGUCACCACUAUCGAGAUGUCGCAUGAUGAUCCUUUGGUUGAUUCUGCCUUUGGCAAAGUUCAGUAUGGAAGUGUGCUGUCAUACCAGCAGCCAGCAGCAACAUUACUCACCAUCAAGAUGCCCCACCACCGCCACCUCUGCCACUAGUUGGUUACAGCCUUGACACAUCUGUUUGCUUGUUUGUCCAUAGUGAACAUGGACAACUACACAUGAAGUCACUGGCAGUAAGUUUGGAUAUGGCACAUUGGUCUUUUAGAAAUCAAAUGUCCAAAUGUCAAAAGUUACGUUGAUUGUCCUUACAUUAAAUUUAACAAUGGCACACCACAACUGAAACAACAACAUGCAUACUAUUGGCAAGUUCAAGGACAAAUGCUGAUUUCAGGAUUGGACUGGUGUGAUUUUGUCAUUUAUGCACAGGAUGACAUGAUGGUCCAACAAAGAGAUCAAAAUGUUUCAGAACAUUCGAGAGAAAGCCGACCAUUUCUUUUUUUACUUUUACCUGCCAAGAUGCCUACAGAUGUAAAAAAAAAAAAAAAAACAAUAAUUUAGUAGUGUUUUAAUAUGUAUCAAAGUUUUUUGUAUUUACACAAAAUCACUGUACAGGAAAUGUUUAUCAAAGUUAUUUAUAUUUACAUGUUUACAUUAACUUUUGUACAGUGUUGCCUGCAAUGCAGUAUUUAUAUUUACAUGUUUACAUUACUGCAGUGCAAAUGAUCAAAGUUAUUUAUAUUUACAUGUUUAUAUUGUUUCUAUUUGAACAAAAAUAAAUCCAAAUUCAAUCCCCUACCAAUGUUAUCUUAUCUUUAAUCCUUUGCCCAUGCUUUUACUAAGGGGCCAUUUUGGUAAUUUACAAGGAGGCAAGCAACUGUGUACAGCUGGUUGAUACUCCCUGUGACAGAAAGAGGGAUGACAGUGUCAAAUAGCUUGUGUUGCUUCACCCUGUGGAUGAGACACUCAACAUGGACCCUUAGCCGAGCAAUGGACUGUGUCUCCCUCACUUCAUCAGCUGACAUCUGUUCCCACUUCGAAAGGUAAGCAGGUCUGUAGACUUUGCAUGGCACACAGUCAUCAACAAGAAAACCUUUGUCGACCAUUAUCGCCAUUCCAUGUUUCAACCGAGACACAAUCCCAGACUACUUAAAAAGCUNGAGACACAAUCCCAGACUGCUUAAAAAGCUCUUUGUCACUGACAGAACCUGCAUACAGGGAUGACACAAAGGUGAUUGCACCAUGUGGUGCCAUGCCGAUUAAUCCCUUGAAGGUGCAGUGGGACUUGUAAGUGGAGAAGACUUCACUUUGAAGCAGGAGAGAGGAUGGAGUUUGGCAACGCAGCUCUGUGCAGUCGAUCACCACUUGUGUGUCUGGGUAGUCCUGAACCUCAUUGGGUAGAUGAGCCUUGACUUCCUCCUCAGACAUCCAGAUGCGGACAGACCCAAGAAUGGUGUACAAAAAAAUGGCCCAGGUUGUAAUAAUUCGGCUAACUGUGGACUGAUGGAUAUUGAAUCUGUGGGACAGAUCCUGCUGUUUUAGGCCAACUGAGAAGUGGACCAUGAAAAGGAAGAACUCAUGCAUAGACUGACCCUAUAAAAAUAACACGGCUUGCAAUUUAUUUACAUAUAAUGUGUUGGCUUCCACUGAAAAUGUAAAGUUAAGUUUUGUUCUUCUAUUUCUUUAUUUACCCAUGCACUGCCUGUUGUUCCAGCUUCACUCCUUAUUGUAGUUGCUCUUGCUCUUGACACACGAAUCAUGUUGUGGGAUGCAGGUUCAAUGAGUUUCCAGAAAGCCAUUAAAUGGCUGUAAGUCACGAACCUAAAUGAGAUGUAGGACAUUUUUUUUACAUGAAUAUAAAUCAUAAAAUCACAAACUAAGAUUAAUUACUUGAAAGAAAACACACACACACACACACACACACACACAUAUAUAUGGUUACACUUUAUUUUAAGGUGUCAUUGUUACAGUGUAAUUAUAUAACAUUAAUAGUAAUAUUAAUUUACAACAUGUACUUACUAUAGUACUUAAAUACUGCAUAAUUUACUGUUAUUACUUUGGUAAAUACAUGUAACGACACUGUAAAAUAGUGUUACCAUAUAUAUAUAUAUAUAUAUAUAUAUAUACACACACACACACACACACAUACACAUAUAGCAUUAUAUGCGUCAUAUAUAGUUAUAUCAUAUAAAUCACAAACUAAAAUUAAUUACUUUAAAAACACACACACACACACAAACAUAUAUAUAGGGUUUAAAUCGUACCUAGUGUAGAACCUUACAUCAUCAUCCUCCAAAAUCCUCCAACGCUUAACGGAGGUCAGCAUCCGCCAGCAACAAAUCACUGAACACUUAGCCGUUCGAGUGGAUCAGACCGAGCGGGAACUUGGCGAGCUGCGGGCGGUGCCCGCUCGAUGCCCGCUCGACGCAUUCUGCUGCCCGACCCGCGAGUGAAAGUGUCCCAAAUUCUGCCCAAGAUGACAGCUGACGAUGACGUAGAGGCCUUUCUCCAGAUGUUUGAGAAUACAGCCGCCCAGGAGGGCUGGGAGAGCGAUGAUUGGGCACGGUUGGUCGCCCCUCUCCUCAAGCCCAGCGGGCUUUCUUUGCCCUGCCGACAGAAGUGGCAAAUGACUACGGCGAGCUGAAGAGGGAAAUCCUUUCACGGCUGGGGCUCUCCUCGGUUUGCGCUGCCCAGCACUUCCACGAAUGGGAAUAUAAACCCCGCCUCCCAGCCCGAGCCCAGGCGGCUGAACUAUCCCGCCUCGCAAGGCAUUGGCUGCUCGGAGGAGAGCCCACGGCUGCCCAAGUGGUGGAGCGUGUCAUCGUGGACCAUUUCCUCCGAGCCCUCCCACGGA